UGGGGAAUAUUGCACAAUGGACGGAAGUCUGAUGCAGCAACGCCGCGUGCGGGAUGACGGCCUUCGGGUUGUAAACCGCUUUUUCUCAUGACGAAGUCUUUUGACGGUAGUGGGGGAAGAAGCACCGGCUAACUACGUGCCAGCAGCCGCGGUGAUACGUAGGGUGCGAGCGUUGUCCGGAAUUAUUGGGCGUAAAGAGCUUGUAGGCGGUUUGUCGCGUCGAUAGUGCAAACUCAGUGCUUAACGCUGAGCCUGCUGUUGAUACGGGCAGACUAGAGGAAGGUAGGGGAGAAUGGAAUUCCCGGUGGAGCGGUGGAAUGCGCAGAUAUCGGGAGGAACACCGGUGGCGAAGGCGGUUCUCUGGGCCUUUCCUGACGCUGAGAAGCGAAAGCGUGGGGAGCGAACAGG
rnacentral:rRNA from 1 species